CCCAGGUCUUGCCUGCUGGCCUGGGGAGAGUGAUGCCCUCUGGAGCAGCUUGGAAGGGUGUCUGUCAAGCGAAGCUGGUGUUUGCAGCUCUGUGUUAAGGAAGAAUUGGAAGUGCGCUGUGCCAGCAGCAGCCCUGGGAAGCAGACUGUUCCAUCCUGGUAUGACUUCACUAGGGACUGAAGAUGCAAAGAGCAGGGAGGGGCUUGGAAGGUGAAAGGACUGCU
rnacentral:lncRNA from 12 species